CCGGGCGACCUACCCAUGAGCAGGAUGAAGCGAAAGUAAAAUUUCGUGGAGGUCCGAACCCACGAGCGUUGAAAAGCUCGGGGAUGACUUGUGGGUAGCGGUGAAAUUCCAAUCGAGCCCGGAGAUAGCUGGUUCUCCCCGAAAUAGCUUUAGGGCUAGCCUCAAGGUGAGAGAUACGGAGGUAGAGCACUGAAUGUCCUAGGGGGUAUUGCACCU
rnacentral:rRNA from 1 species